rnacentral:rRNA from 1 species
UACAGAGGUCUCAAGCGUUGUUCGGAUUCAUUGGGCGUAAAGGGUGCGUAGGCGGCGCGGUAAGUCGGGUGUGAAAUCUCGGAGCUUAACUCCGAAACUGCAUUCGAUACUGCCGUGCUUGAGGACUGGAGAGGAGACUGGAAUUUACGGUGUAGCGGUGAAAUGCGUAGAUAUCGGGAGGAACACCAGUGGCGAAGGCGGCUCUCUGGACCGGUUCGUGGACGCUCAGGCGCGAAAGCGUGGGGAGCGAGUCGG